CUCAGGUUUAGCUGGUGGAUCAUAUUGUGAAAACUGCAGCCAUGAAAGGCCCUCCAUUUACUGCACCCUUCAAAACAAAAUGUUAGCAUGGGAGGCUAAGCUGGAGGCUAAUAACGAGGGAGUCAGUGAAGGAGACCAAUGCCACAAGGGUUAUCUCGCAGCCCCAGAUGCUGGAUAAGUUGAAGGAGGCAGAAUCGCUUUUGGAUGACAUUCAGGAAGGCCUUGAAUUAUUAUCUGGUGAAGAAAAGACUAUUCUUUUCAAGGUUUUUUUCCCUAGAUGCAGCAAUGAUCUAUUAGGUAUCCUUUUUGAGACAAAGGAUCCACUCCACCUCCAACCUAAGGAAAUGCUUUGAAGGAAUUGACAAGCUCACUUUUAAUCACAAGAGAGAAAUUACCCACAUGGAGUCAGCAGAAAAUGAAAAAGUACAGCUCGUGCUGCGAAUAAUUCCAGCAAGUGCCAAGGGGCUAGUUGAGAAAUGGCUUCAUGAGGUGAAUAUCUUUAGCUCUUACUUAGGGUUUGGUUACUGUAUGAUCAUUUUCUCUUUUAGGAGCAAUGAAUAUUAUAAGUGGAUACUAAAUAGCUCUCUGAAUAUUUGUCAAGAUGUUGACAGAUUUCAGCCUUAUUGUUGUUAUUUAUUGCAACUAAUUUAGCAUCUGCAAAUGUGCAGAAAUUAAUUCUAAUAAAAAUCUGUCUUGAAUCAGGCUGUUAGCAGAAGUUGGUCUGUGUCUGAAACCAUAUGUGUGAAUAUAUGUUUGAGUCUACAUGUAUGUGUUUUUGUGCUUUCAUGGUGUAAUGUCUG